AGCCAGGCCUUACAAAUGGCGGAUCGAACGAUGAUGCCCAGCUCGCUCUCCUGAAUGAUUAGUGGCAAACGGGUGAGUAGCCCGUGAGUCGCCCGGCCUUUCCUUCUGGAUAAGCCUGGGAAACCGGGUCUAAUGCCGGAUACCAGAGACCACCGCUGGGCGAUCCAUGGAAAGCUUGAUGCCGUUUUGGAUGGACUCGCGGCCUAUCAUCUAGUUGGUUGGGGUAAUGGCCCACCAAGGCGACUACCGGUAGCCAGCCUGACAGGGUGACCGGCCUCACUGGGACUGACACACGGCCCACACUCCUACGGGAGGCAGGAAAGGGGAAUAUUGGGGAAAGGGCGAAAGCCUGAUGCGCCGACCCCGCGUGAAGGACGAAGGCCUUCGGGUUGUAAACCUCUUUCAACGAGGAAGAAGCGAAAGUUACCGUACCUGCUUAAGAUUCCCCGGCUAACUACGUGCCAGCAGCCUCGGUAAUACGUAGGGCGCAAUACUUAUCCGGAAUUAUUGGGCGUAAAGAGCUCGUACGCGGUUUGUCCCGACUGCUGUGAACCCCCGGGGCGCAACCCCGGCUCUGUCGUGCGUACGGGUGGACUAGAAUGCACUAAGGUAGACUGGAAUUCCUGGUGUAGCGGUUAAUUGCGCAGAUAUCAGGAGGAACACCGAUGGCGAAGAGCACGUCUCUGGGCUGUAACUGACGCUCAUGAGCACAAAACAUGGAGAGCGAACAGGAUUAGAUACCCUGGUAAUCCAUGCCGUAGACGUUGGGCACUAUGCGUGAAGUACAUUCCACGUUUUCCGCGUCGUAACUCACGCAUUAAGUGCCCCGCCUGGAGAGUACAGCCGCAAGGAUAAAACUCGCAGGAAUUGACUGGGGCCCACACAAGCUGCGUAGCAUGCGCAUUAAUACGAUGCAACGCGAAGAACUUACCAAGGCCAGACAUGAACCGGAUAGGCCUGGAACACGUUCCCCACAUGUAGUCGGUGUUAUCGGUGAUGCAUGAAUAGUCGUCAGCUCGUGUCGUGACGAUGCUGGAGUCUAGUCCCGUGACGAUGAGCGAACUCAUCCUUCAAGCUAGCUACACUGUUAUGUCGUGUACUCAUAGGAGACUGUCGAGUCAUCUCGGUAGCCAUGUAGGGACGACGUCAAAUCGAUCAAGGCCCGUUAGUAUUGGGCUAACGCUAGGCUUGCAUUGAUCGUACACGGCUCCGAUCUGAGGUGAACUAUCCGAAGCCGACUCAAUCCGAAUAGAGCCGGUCAAGCUGGACU
rnacentral:rRNA from 1 species